ACGUACUCUGUAUUAGGAUCGUACUGCUCCUUGUGGGCAGUUAUCCGAAGGUUUCGAAAGAGACCGAUGUCUAUUUAAUCCCUUUUAAAUUAUAUCUGAUCAACAUUGCAGACAGAAAUGUGUGCAUGAAAUUGAAAUACAACUUUCAACAGUGGAUGUCUUGGCUCGCACAUCGAUGAAGAACGCUGCGAACUGCGAUACGUAAUGCGAAUUGCAGAAUUCAGUGAGUCAUCAAAAUUUUGAACGCAUAUUGCACUUCCGGGUUAGUCCUGGGAGUAUGUUUGUAUCAGUGUCCGUUAAAACAAAAUUGCUUCAUUUUUCAAUGGAGCAGAACGUGGAGUGUCUUGCUUCGACAAGUCCUCCUAAAUGACACUUACCUGUACGCCCUUGUGGAAUACAUUAUACAAAGGUAUGAUAUGAUUUCGAUUUCGAUUGCCCUGUGCAAUGGCACGAGGAUUGAAAGAGAGAUAAAUUGCGGUAGCUUUGCUUGUGCUCCGGCAUCGGCGAACAUUAUUAUUGCUUUUUGUUGCUCUGGAGGUCGUCGUGGCAGAGUGCAGGGUGCGUUGUCGAAUAGUAUGUACUGGUGUGUUCCUUGACGUAUGGAGGCAAAUUGG
rnacentral:misc_RNA from 1 species